rnacentral:pre_miRNA from 1 species
ACGUGUAUUCUUGGUGAAUAAUACAGAUGUCGCUGUUAUUGCUUAAGAAUACACGUAG